AAAUAUGUAAUGAAGUGUUGUACGUUUUAUAUGAAAAAGAAAAAAAUGCAGAUUUUAAUAUAUUCUUUCCCGAUUUUUUAUUGGUCUCUUGAUUUUCAAUCAACGAACUGUAUACAAGUACCUUAGUAUAGAGUUCAUUGUUUUAAAUUACUCUCUCCCGGAAUAUGGUUCAAAACAUAAACGGCAACAUUGGAUUGUCUUGAUUGCCUCUGUCAUCAUCAGUCAUAUUCAGGUACUGCGCGUUGGUUUUACAGCAAAAUUUUAUUCAUACUCUCUCAGAAAAUGUGAUAAUUGAAAUGUUUAUACCAGUUUUGCAGUAAUGUCAGAAAAAGUCGUCAUUUACCUGAAAGUGUCCACAGAAACAGGGUAGAAGAUCUGGGGUGUUCGGUGUGUGAGAAACCAAAGGAUUGAGGAGAUAUACCAGCCCUAGUAAACGACGACUCUGGGGCUACUAAAGAAAAAACAUCAUCUGUAAAUGCUUAUUUCUGUAAUUAUGAAAUAAAUACAGUGUAUUUUAUUUGGUUCUAGAUAAACCAAAUAAACUUGCCACCUAGUUUAUAGCCAGCAGCAGAUAGAUCAUUGGCUGAAAA